GGGACGCCUUACAAGAUAUAUAGCCAAGUUGUUGGGGAACAUAAAAAGAGUGUGGAGACAACCCUUGCGGAUCUUGACGUCACACCAAGUAAUGCUGCAUACAGACUGAAUGUCAGACCCUUGCUAAGGAUGGCUUCUAGCUUUGCUUUUUCGGUUCAGCUCCAAGUUUCAAUGAUAGUUCAGCAUAUUUUUGAUGAUGAGGAGGACAUAACUGUAAUGAAGUUGUGGGUUUAUCAUGCUUGCGACAGGAUGCCAAUAGCUGAGGCUCUUCCCGGUAAUAUAUUUCUUAUUCUGAAUUUUUUGAAAGCUCCUUUUCCUCUUCUCUUUCUAUGUAUUCUGAAGGGAUUGUGCAAGGUAAGAUGA